UGAUGUAUAUAGAUAUAGGAAGAUGUGGUGUGAGUGCCAAUGAGACAACUCUCCAUACAAAUAACAAUUUAAAAAGUAAACCAUUAUAGGUUAAAGUACGGCCUUCAACACGGAGCCUUGGCUCACACCGAACAACAAGCUAUAAAGGGCCCCAAAAUUACUAGUGUAAAACCAUUCAAACGGGAAAACAAACGGUCUAAUCUAUAUAAACAAAACGAGAAACGAGAAACACGUAUAUAUUACAUAAACAAACGACAACUACUGUACAUCAGAUUCCUGACUUAGGACAGGUGCAAAAAUUUGCAGCGGGAUUAAACGUUUUAAUGGAUCCAAACCUUCUCCAUUUUU
rnacentral:lncRNA from 1 species